rnacentral:rRNA from 1 species
AAGCAGUUUCUCCUUGGAGCCGAUAUACAGGUGCUGCAUGGCUGUCGUCAGCUCGUGUCGUGAGAUGUUCGGUUAAGUCCGGCAACGAGCGCAACCCGUGUCGUUAGUUACCAGCACGUAAUGGUGGGGACUCUAGCGAAACUGCCCGUGUCAAGCGGGAGGAAGGCGCGGAUGACGUCAAGUCCGUAUGGCCCUUACGCCCAGGGCUGCACACGUGCUACAAUGGCUGGUAUAAUGGGAUGCGAAAUCGCGAGAUGGAGCUAAUCCGCAAAACCAGCCCCAGUUCGGAUUGGAGUCUGCAACUCGACUCCAUGAAGUCGGAAUCGCUAGUAAAGGCGUAUCAGCUACGACGCCUUGAAUACGUUCCCGGGCCUUGUACACACCGCCCGUCACAUCACGGGAGCUGGAUGCACCCGAAGUCGCUGACCCAACUGCUUGCAGAGGGAGGCGCCGAAGGUGUGCNUAGUGACUGGGAUGAAGUCGUAACAAGGUAACC